AUUAAAUCUUUAUGUUUUCUUCGUAUAAUCUUGGGGAUAUGGCCCAAAAGUUUCUACCGAGCUGCCGUAAAUAGCUUGACUACGAGGUGCAAACAGAUAGAU
rnacentral:ncRNA from 1 species